GUGGGGAAUUUUGGACAAUGGGCGCAAGCCUGAUCCAGCAAUGCCGCGUGCAGGAAGAAGGCCUUCGGGUUGUAAACUGCUUUUGUACGGAACGAAACGGUCCUGGUUAAUACCCGGGGCUAAUGACGGUACCGUAAGAAUAAGCACCGGCUAACUACGUGCCAGCAGCCGCGGUAAUACGUAGGGUGCAAGCGUUAAUCGGAAUUACUGGGCGUAAAGCGUGCGCAGGCGGUUUUGUAAGACAGGCGUGAAAUCCCCGGGCUCAACCUGGGAAUUGCGCUUGUGACUGCAAGGCUGGAGUGCGGCAGAGGGGGAUGGAAUUCCGCGUGUAGCAGUGAAAUGCGUAGAUAUGCGGAGGAACACCGAUGGCGAAGGCAAUCCCCUGGGCCUGCACUGACGCUCAUGCACGAAAGCGUGGGGAGCAAACAGGAUUAGAUACCCCUGUAGUCC
rnacentral:rRNA from 1 species